rnacentral:lncRNA from 1 species
CUGGAAUUAAACUGCUGCUGACACAUCUGUCUUAGAUUGCGUUUCACUGUGAGCUUCUGACCUGCUGCAAAAUCCCUUUCAGAAAGCGGCUCCUUAGGUGUGCUGAGGUCUCCUUUUGAAAUGACAAAAAGGAAAAAGCAGUUUUCAAUAGGCAGCUGGGUGAGUUCCCCUGAAAUGAUUGUUUUAUGCUGCUGAAUUUUAAAAUGUACUGUUAUUAGUAUAGUAGGCUCUGAACAUGCUGAAGAGGUGUCUUCAGGUAUUUAAAUCAAAAUAAAUAAAAUAUUGACUAAGCUGAGCUCAGUAGCUCACUGAAUUAAACAGAAGCAUUAUAUUCCAGUUUUAAAUGAUGCUUUUGUAGGGAUUUAUUCCAGUUUAAAUCAAUGCUUAAAACUCUCCACUCUGAAUUGAUGUGGUACAAACUUGUGUGCAUAGACAAAAUCUGAGAGGUACUAUAGCACUCACUUGAAACUUGCAGGAAGAUUUUUUUUUUUCCCUUUCCUUGAAUGUUGUUAUUUCCCACAUCAUAGAAUCAUAGAAUAUCCCGAGUUGGAAGGGACCCCCAAGGAUCAUCGAGUCCAGCUCCUGACUCCACACAGGAACAUCCAAAAUCCAAACCCGAUGUCUGAGAGCAUUGUCCAAAUGCUUAUUGAACUUUGUCAGGACUGGUGGCGUGCCCACUGCCCUGGCCCUGUUCCAGGGCCCGACCACGUCUGAGGAAGAACCUUUCCCUAGCCCCCACCUGCCCCUCCCCUGACGCAGCUCCAUGCCGUUCCCUCGGGCGCUGUCGCUGUCACCAGAGAGCGGAGCUCAGCGCUGCCCUUCUCCUCCCUGUGAGGAGCUGCAGCCGCCAUGAGGCCUCCCCUCAGCCUGCCCUGCUCUGGGCUGAACAGACCCAGGGACCUCAGCUGCUCCUCAUACACUUUCCCAUCCUGACCCUUCUCCGUCUUCAUAGUCUUCUUUUGGAUGCUAUCAAGUACUUUGUCACCUUCUAGAUUCUUAGUACCCUAUAAUUUUUCCACAUUUGUCAGGCUCUGGGCAUGUCAGGGAAGGUGGAACAAUAAAAUGUUGUCUUCAUCCACGGAACAGAGUGCUUUCCUCAGUGCAUCUCUUCACUACACCAAGUAUUUGGCAUGUGAACAGCUACAGUGA